AUGCCAGGAGUGGAACCCCCUCACUCCAUACCUUAUAGAGUGCCCCAUCACCAGAAGGAAGAAAUGGAAAAACGGAUUCAGCAUUUGUUGGACAACAAAUUAAUCAGACCUAGCCAGAGCCCUUAUGCUUCCCCUGUGCUUCUAGUGAAGAAAAAGAACGACACUAUGAGACUGUGCACAGAUUUCAGAAAAUUGAAUUCAGUCACAAUCAAAAAUAAAUUCCCAAUUCCGGUGAUUGAGGAUUUAUUGGAUGAACGGCAUGGAGCUAAAGUAUUCUCUAAAUUGGAUCUAAGGUCUGGUUACCACCAAAUCAGAAUGAAUCCUGAAGACGUACACAAAAUUGCUUUUCGAACAUUCUUGGGUCACUAUGAAUAUUUGUUCAUGCCUUUUGGCUUAUCCAACGCACCUGGCACUUUUCAAGCUCUCAUGAAUUUUCUCUUUGCACACUACAAUAGAAAGUUUGUGCUAGUGUUCUUUGAUGACAUACUCAUUUUGAGUAGAACAUUAGUGGAGCAUGUGGAUCAUUUAGCACAAGUGCUAAAAAUUCUCAGAGAAAAUGAACUAUACGCUAAGUUGUCCAAAUGUGUGUUUGCUGUGGAUAAAGUGUAG
rnacentral:rRNA from 1 species